UGGGGAAUAUUGCACAAUGGGCGAAAGCCUGAUGCAGCAACGCCGCGUGAGUGAUGAAGGUCUUCGGAUUGUAAAGCUCUGUCUUUUGGGACGAUAAUGACGGUACCAAAGGAGGAAGCCACGGCUAACUACGUGCCAGCAGCCGCGGUAAUACGUAGGUGGCGAGCGUUGUCCGGAUUUACUGGGCGUAAGGGUGCGUAGGCGGAUGUUUAAGUGAGAUGUGAAAUACCCGGGCUUAACUUGGGUGCUGCAUUUCAAACUGGAUAUCUAGAGUGCAGGAGAGGAGAAUGGAAUUCCUAGUGUAGUGGUGAAAUGCGUAGAGAUUAGGAAGAACACCAGUGGCGAAGGCGAUUCUCUGGACUGUAACUGACGCUGAGGCACGAAAGCGUGGGUAGCAAACAGGAUUAGAUACCCUGGUAGUCCACGCCGUAAACGAUGAGUACUAGGUGUAGGAGGUAUCGACCCUUUCUGUGCCGCAGUAAACACAUUAAGUACUCCGCCUGGGAAGUACGAUCGCAAGAUUAAAACUCUAAAGUGAA
rnacentral:rRNA from 1 species